rnacentral:rRNA from 1 species
GACGAACGCUGGCGGCGUGCCUAAUACAUGCAAGUUGAGCGCUGAAGGUUGGUACUUGUACCGACUGGAUGAGCAGCGAACGGGUGAGUAACGCGUGGGGAAUCUGCCUUUGAGCGGGGGACAACAUUUGGAAACGAAUGCUAAUACCGCAUAAAAACUUUAAACACAAGUUUUAAGUUUGAAAGAUGCAAUUGCAUCACUCAAAGAUGAUCCCGCGUUGUAUUAGCUAGUUGGUGAGGUAAAGGCUCACCAAGGCGAUGAUACAUAGCCGACCUGAGAGGGUGGUCGGCCACAUUGGGACUGAGACACGGCCCAAACUCCUACGGGAGGCAGCAGUAGGGAAUCUUCGGCAAUAGGCGAAAGUCUGACCGAGCAACGCCGCGUGAGUGAAGAAGGUUUUCGGAUCGUAAAACUCUGUUGGUAGGGAAGAACGUUGGUGAGAGUGGAAAGCUCAUCAAGUGACGGUAACUACCCAGAAAGGGACGGCUAACUACGUG